CCUACGGGAGGCAGCAGUGAGGAAUAUUGGUCAAUGGGAGAGAGCCUGAACCAGCCAAGCCGCGUGAGGGAAGAAGGUACUAUGGGUUGUAAACCUCUUUUGUCGGAGAACAAAAGCCGGGACGAGUCCCGGACUGAGGGUAUCUGAAGAAAAAGCAUCGGCUAACUCCGUGCCAGCAGCCGCGGUAAUACGGAGGAUGCGAGCGUUAUCCGGAUUUAUUGGGUUUAAAGGGUGCGUAGGCGGUCCGUUAAGUCAGCGGUAAAAGUGCGGGGCUCAACCCCGUCGAGCCGUUGAAACUGGCGGACUUGAGUUGGCGAGAAGUACGCGGAAUGCGCGGUGUAGUGGUGAAAUGCAUAGAUAUCGCGCAGAACCCCGAUUGCGAAGGCAGCGUACCGGCGCCAGACUGACGCUGAGGCACGAAAGCGUGGGUAUCGAACAGGAUUAGAUACCCGUGUAGUC
rnacentral:rRNA from 1 species